rnacentral:rRNA from 1 species
AGAGUUUGAUCAUGGCUCAGAUUGAACGCUGGCGGCAUGCCUUACACAUGCAAGUCGAACGGCAGCACGGGGGCAACCCUGGUGGCGAGUGGCGAACGGGUGAGUAAUACAUCGGAACGUGUCCUGUAGUGGGGGAUAGCCCGGCGAAAGCCGGAUUAAUACCGCAUACGAUCUGUGGAUGAAAGCGGGGGAUCUUCGGACCUCGCGCUACAGGGGCGGCCGAUGGCAGAUUAGCUAGUUGGUGGGGUAAAGGCCUACCAAGGCGACGAUCUGUAGCUGGUCUGAGAGGACGACCAGCCACACUGGGACUGAGACACGGCCCAGACUCCUACGGGAGGCAGCAGUGGGGAAUUUUGGACAAUGGGCGAAAGCCUGAUCCAGCAAUGCCGCGUGUGUGAAGAAGGCCUUCGGGUUGUAAAGCACUUUUGUCCGGAAAGAAAACCUCGUGGUUAAUACCCGUGGGGGAUGACGGUACCGGAAGAAUAAGCACCGGCUAACUACGUGCCAGCAGCCGCGGUAAUACGUAGGGUGCAAGCGUUAAUCGGAAUUACUGGGCGUAAAGCGUGCGCAGGCGGUUCGCUAAGACAGAUGUGAAAUCCCCGGGCUUAACCUGGGAACUGCAUUUGUGACUGGCGGGCUAGAGUAUGGCAGAGGGGGGUAGAAUUCCACGUAGCAGUGAAAUGCGUAGAGAUGUGGAGGAAUACCGAUGGCGAAGGCAGCCCCCUGGGCCAAUACUGACGCUCAUGCACGAAAGCGUGGGGAGCAAACAGGAUUAGAUACCCCCGUAGUCC